UACUGUAUGUUUUGAAUUUGCAGUAAUUUACUGUUUACACAUUACAGUAGUGGUACUGUACUUAUAAUAUACAGUAAGAAUUAUAUUUGAUUUCCAACCGUCAUCAUAGCUGCUUCAUCGUGGUUCCCUGUUUCUGUAUUUUUACUCCUUUAGUGGUUAACAUAUUUUUAAGGCAGAAAGAGAGAAUGUACUUUUGUUUUUUUCACAUACUAGCUAACAUUAAUAUGCAGUUUAUCUAGCUACGUCAUCAAGCGUGGCUUCGCUUCCAACUGUUUUCUGAUGACGUUUGUUUUAAACUCCGAAGCUUUUUCUCUCCAAGUGCAAGUGCAGCUCUGUCUCCGUGCUGUGGGCUCACACUGCUUCAGCUCUUCAAGACAGAUGACGUUUUUUUUUAACUCCCAAGCUUUUUCCCUCCAAGUGGCUGUGCAGUUCUGUCCUGCUGACUGCUAACAUAGCUUCAUCUCUUCAAAAGACAAGACAACAGGUAUCUUCCACCAAGAUGUCUGUUGAAAUGGAAAUGACCUUACCCACUACACCAAGGGUAAUCAUGCUUGGAAAUAGCUUGAUGUCUGCAACCCGGUGGAUGGUCAGUAUGGAGGAGAAGGUAUUUUUCGAGCCAGAGCAACUACAUGACUUUGCCAGCGUCCUUGCUGUCUUUUUUGGGUCAUAUUCUGUCUUCAAUCUGGAGUAUCAGGAGUCAGCAUCCACCACGCUGGAGAUGAUACAAUGAUUCUUUGUGAGGAUCAAUCCAGAUGUUGGUACCAAAUGCACAGCCAAAGUCGGUACAAGCCGCAAGACGGGAAGUCUUGUCAAGAGGAAAGUAGUCAGUGUCAACUUCCAGAUCACCACCUUCUUCCAACAACUUGCUGAAUUUGAAUGGAGGACUUCCAACUAGUUCAGCUUCCACAAGAUGGAUCCCACUGAUUUUGUUUGACGAAUGGAAUAAAAGUUCUUCUGAUGUAGGAAAUGUGUUCUAUGGUUUUGUUGUUUUACAGCACAUUAUAUUGUAUUGUGACAUUGUUUUUUAUGACAUUGCGAAUAUGUAAAUGGAUUUUAUUUCUACAAAUCUGCUGAAAAUAAAUACCUGUUAUUCACAGUA